UUUGCUAGUAGAGAGUGGAUUUUCUGUGCUUUUUUUUGUAAUAUUUAAAUAAAUUAAUAACUAACUUUCUUCGUGUGAAUUAAACUACAACCCAAUACGAAGCUAAAUUUACUUCAAUUUUGGCAGCUAAUUAUAGGAACACCCUGGUGAUUGAGAUGAAGAACUUCAAGGCGAUGAGAGUGGACAGCAUAGGCAAAGAUUUGGACAGUGGACAAAACGGACUUCGCAGCCACAGAACAACAUGAGUCACUUCUCUUCUGCUUCUGCUACAACGUCAUCUUCUUCUUCUGCUACUACUGAUACUGUUGCUGCGGCUACUGUUACUGAUACUGCGGCUACUGUUACUGUUACUGCUGCUACUGUUACUGUUACUGCUUCUACUGAUACUGCUGCUUCUUCUUUGCUGAGAAAUCAACACUUUUGGACGUUUGUAGCUGAUUGCUGACCAAGGUGUUACAUCUGUGAGUUCACUUAGAUUAUGAUUAUUAUCUUUCUCUCCUCCUUUUCCUUCUUCUUCUUUUCCUUACUAACAAAUUUUGUAUUGAUAUAGGGUGAUUGUUUAUUGCAUUGUUAUUGCCAAUAUUAGAUUCAUUCAGUAGACUAUAAUAUGAAAUCUUUUACAUGACAUUCAAAAAUUUGGAGGAUUCAAAGCAAGAAUUUUUCUCUUUUAUUCAUGAAAUGGAGGUGCAUAGAAAUUUAGUAAUAGAAGAACGUCGGUGGAUUUAUGCAGAGCUUGAGGUACGUUUAGACUUGUAUACAAAAUUGUAGAUUUAUUUGUAUGAGAUUCAAGGGUGAUUAGAAUCGAAUAUAUUGCAGCUCAUAGAAAAUGAUUGAAUAAGGAAUUUAUCAUACUUGUGAUUUUGACAUGUAUCUCAUGCAAAUCUAUUUUAUAUUUGUAUACAAGACCUGACGUACCUUGAAAUGUAUAAUUGGAGGACGGGAGCUGUGCAUGUAUACUAAGGUAGGUGAUCACCUCAUCGUGGAACACAUGCCGCCGAUUAUGCAGAUCUCCGAAUCACCGCCACCUGUCUAUUUAUCUAUUAUUCAUUUACAAUAUUACAACUGAACAGUCUACAACUAUUGGACCAGAGAUCUAUAGACAUUAGACAAAGUUUUAUGAUACAGAAACAAUAGCGUAAGUAGAUAUCCCAUAGUAUAGGGCGUUUAUGUCGCAACUUUUACUGUUAUCUCAAGCCGAUUAUUGUCAAUUUUUACUGUUUUGACCGGGUAAGAGUGUAUG